rnacentral:lncRNA from 1 species
UUUCUACACACGCACCAACUAUUCUGUGAUUUUUCAUGGACUGAAGAUAGAAUACGCACCAAACUAAUAUUAAGUCUGGUACAGAAAUUCUCUAUUCUUGAACUGACAAUAUUUCUUCUAUGUGGAAUACACAAGAUCUCCUCAAUUGGCCAUGAUGCAGGCAUCGCCACAGGCAAUACUUGGCGCACCGGAGAACCUGUACUGUUGGAUUUGUCGAGAGAGGACUGAGGGAACACGCCAGCGUUAGGGUGGCGGAUGCAAGUAUUGGAGUUCAGCCUAAAAUCACAAGAGAAUGGAUCAAAAUGAAUUCAGGUUGAUUUCUAAUCAUUUAUCAAGCUAUAAAAGUUAGAACUGAUGUUACACAAACCGAGGCAUUUUUUAUAUGAACAGCUCACGUACUAUGUAUAGUACCACUAUUUUUUUCAUUCUCAUGAACAAAUAACCAUAGACUAACGAGAGAAUGUAUUACUCGAUAGUAGGCAUUUUCUUCUCAGAACCACUUUGGUUUUCUUUUCUUUUUCUUCACUUUUUGCUGCUUGGUUUUUUCUUUGCUUUAUGAAGUGCCCCAUCAGAAAAGUUGAACUUUAGAUUUUACCAAUCUCCACAUCUACUGAAACAAGGGAGCUCCUUUUGAAACAUGUACAAAGAACUAAGAAGGCAUAUACAAGGUCAACUGAAAAACCAUAUACAAGGUGAACCGGAAAAGCUUAUGAGAAAAAAAGUGAACCAACCUUUUGUUGUUUUUCUAGUUACUAAACUACUCCCUCUGUCCCAUAAUGUAAGACGUUUUUGCAGUUCAAUUUGAACUCCAAAAACGUCUUGUAUUAUGGGACGGAGGAGUACUUAUUACCAUAACAGCGGCUAAACUGAUGCUGCAUAUGUAUAUAGGAAGGUUAUUGGUACCAAGAAAAUAGGAUAGUAAACAACAUUAUAAAUUGAAUUCCUGAAUGUUAUAUGAAGAUGAGGCAAUUGUACUUAUGAUUUGGCAUUAGAUGUACUGAAUAGCACACAUAAUAUGGACUGAAAAAAUUGAACUAGCACAACUAUUCUGCUUUGUGAAGAUGGUGGCUUCAAUUCUACAUGGACUGAUGUCCGUGCUCCACUUGGACGGGUGCGAAUAACCAUGGUGGACGAGCUCGUGGCCGAGGGUGGCCAAGGCGACCACCGGAGACUGUAGGUGGUCGUGCUUGUUCUCGGCAGCGAACUUACACGAGGUGGUGGUGAUGGCCGAGGAAGUCAGAAAUCAGCGCUGAACUAAAAAAAUAAGAAUUGUACUAACUAAAAAUUAGAAUUUGAACUGAGCGUGUCACUGAAGAUGAACUUGUGCAUCUGUUUUUUGCUCCCGCACCAGUGUAACAAAUUCAAGAUGACAUGAAUUUUGUGUGCAUAUAAUAAGAUGAAUGAGUGAGAGAAGAAAGAGAGCAAUAAAAGGAUAUUUUUUUCAC